CAGGCUGCGUGGUUCUCCAUGGACUAUGGAGUAGGUGAGAAAAUGCAUAGAGGCUGCGGGCCGACGGCGGGGUGCUAGAGAUGCGAGAGAUGGCUGCGGCGGCAGCAUGAACAUCUGCAUCAAACCUGCCGCGACGUCUGUGUCAGAACGCAGCGCACAUGACGCCCACCUCCGCCUCGCCGUUGCAGAGAAAGACAGCGACGAGCCCGCAGAUGAGCGCUGCUUGGGUCGACGCGGAGGAGAUCAAGGUCGUUGCCGAGGGCGUGCGUUGUGUCAGCCGGUGGGUGCGGCCUCUGCAAGAUAACAUCUGAACCGAGCACGCAGCUUCGUCUUUGCUAGAGAAGAAGCAGAAUGAGGAGCAGUCUCCACCACGUCGAAGCUGACGAUUUCGAUGAAGCUCGCCGCCCUCUCCGCCGUACUAGUCUAGGACUGCAGGCCGCCGUGAGAAAACCCAGGGAGAAAGAGCACGAUUGACUUGAGGGAGAAAAAUUAUUCUCAUGUAAUUGCAGGUCCCAUGUCUGUUCUGUGCAGAUCAACUUUGAUUCGUGGUCGAUCCCGGCGCCCUGGGACCGGCGGUUGGGGGGAACAACGUCGAUCCAAUCGGCACGACAUCUGAGCAGCAGCGUGAACCGCGGCACUCGGCGACGAAAUACCAGGGCGGCGUGGGAUGUGAGCGUUCUUCAGAUGAAUACCCAUGGCCAAGGCAGAAGCGGCCGUGUCGGCGGCGGCGGAUCCCAUCUCUUCCUCCGCUUCUCCUACAUCGGAGCUGAGCACCCAUGGCGGCGGUCGAGCCCAUCGCCUCCGCCGCCCAGGACCUCCACAAAACAUGGCUCCUACUAGGAUCUCAGCCAAUGCAUACCGGAGCUCGACCUAGACCCGUCGCUCUCGGCAUGCCGCCCAUGAGUGUGGUCGACAUCGGCAGCGGGUUCAUGGCCGGCCCGCGUUCGACGAGGCGGCCGCGGUCAUCAGCGAGGCACCGUGCCGGCCUGCGGACGAGCAUCGCUGCUGUGGGGAAUUUCUCCUCUAGUGAUUUGUCUCUCUGCAGUUCUCAUGUGCUACUGUAUUAAUUACGGGUCCACCUAAAGUAUUCCCCUUCGUAUAGACAGUUUUGUAUAAAAUUGGCUUGUUUCUGUAGUAGGUCCCGCAACCAGCACAGACCAAUAGGAGGCUGAUUUCCGCCGGGAGCAAAUGCCGCCCGGUUCAACAACGAGUUUUCCGGGUA